GACGAACGCUGGCGGCGUGCUUAACACAUGCAAGUCGAACGGAAAGGCCCUGCUUUUGUGGGGUGCUCGAGUGGCGAACGGGUGAGUAACACGUGAGUAACCUGCCCUUGACUUUGGGAUAACUUCAGGAAACUGGGGCUAAUACCGGAUAGGAGCUCCUGCUGCAUGGUGGGGGUUGGAAAGUUUCGGCGGUUGGGGAUGGACUCGCGGCUUAUCAGCUUGUUGGUGGGGUAGUGGCUUACCAAGGCUUUGACGGGUAGCCGGCCUGAGAGGGUGACCGGCCACAUUGGGACUGAGAUGCGGCACAGACUCCUACGGGAGGCAGCAGUGGGGAAUAUUGCACAAUGGGCGGAAGCCUGAUGCAGCAACGCCGCGUGCGGGAUGACGGCCUUCGGGUUGGAAACCGCUUUCGCCUGUGACGAAGCGUGAGUGACGGUAAUGGGUAAAGAAGCACCGGCUAACUACGUG
rnacentral:rRNA from 1 species